GAAAAGUUGGCAUUUAUCAAAAUGCUUCAAAUUUAUGGAUGCGUACAGCAUGAGGAGAAAGGUGAAGGGCAGGAAACAGAGGCGUUUAUUAGAACAGUUGCACACCGUGUUUCCUUCCUAGAAGAGAAAGUGCCCGAAGCAAAGAAGAGUCAUGGUGCCUUUUUAAUACCACUUUCCAACUGUUUCGAUAUGCAGUUAUCCCAUCUUUAAAAACGUCUGGGACAUACCUUAACUCUGUAAAGAACAUCAUGAAUAUGCAGUCUGGUUAACAGGCAUGGAAAGGACACGACCUCCUCCAGGAGUGGCACUUUAAGAUCUGCCAAAACUCUAUCAAACCAAAGACUUUUUCCCUAUGAACAAUGUAGGUACCAAGUAUCAAAAUCAUUGAUUUCUGUCUCUUUUAUAAAAGGCUGGGUUUGUUCUUAUGGUUCAUACUUUAUAUAUGUAAGUAGAAGCAACUGUUAUACUUCAGAUCUUUGGUUAGCAUCUGUAAAAGGAAGCUGAAACUUUCCAAUCAUGUUGUGGCCGUAUAGAGGCUGGAACAUUUAUUCUAAGAUUUGAUCACAGUAGUUUACACCAUAAGCUUACAGAACCAGCAAAGCAAAUAUAUAAAGCAUCACAUUUUUAUACUUAAAAUGAUCAGAAGCUUAAAGAAUGUGCUAGUAUUGCAUGCUAAAACUGCCAGCCUCACAAAUCAUCAGGAUACACCACAGAGCAUGAAAUCAGGGUCAGAAUUUAACAAUUCAAUAAACCACAUAUGGCCAAACCUUCUAGCACUCCAAAGCAGGAAUAGGGUUUUAAAAGCUGUUGCGUAACACAAGCUGAGUAAUAUGAAUAAACUUUUUGCAAUGUUGUUAUGGACCUUUGGAUGUGCCAUUUUGUAAGAGUCAUUCUGUUUAACCAGAACUUGAAGUAGAAUAUUCAUCUCCCCACCUGUAGCUUGUUUUUUUUUUUUUUGUCUAGGUGAACAAAAAACAAUUAUCUGAAUAAGGAAAAUUAGAAAGAGGAGGUUAUAUACGUAGGUUAGAAGAUACUUGUCUCCUUUAUGUACAGAAGAUCUCACUAUGGCAACAAAAAGGAGGUCAAGAUGGUAGAUUGCUUCUGAAAGAUAAGCAUUUCAGAUAGUUGGCUUUGCAAAUAGUACAAUUUGAAUAAAUAGAAAUAAAUGCUCUUACUUUAAAAAUGCCUGUGAAAAAAACUUAAUCUGGAGGCUCAUAUGCAAGUACUACAAUGGGAAGCAGGGAGAAAGAAGGAAAAAAAAAAGCUUAUAGUGAAUGUAAAGCUCUAUGGCUUUGAGCAACCAUGGAGUCCAAUGCUGAAAUAAGUGAACUCAACGUUUUCAUAUUUAUUAGUGGAACUGGUGAUGAAAGAUAAAGUGAAUUAAAAUACAAAGCAACAGACAGACCUAGUCAGCGUCUGUGCCCUGCAGUGCAGGCUAUCGUAAUGGAUUACUACAAAUGAACUACUGUUACAGAGAAGAAAACUAAUUACAAAAGGCACAGAAUACUCAUUAUACCAGCCAUUUUAGCAAAACAUCAGCUUCUUUAUUAACAGAAAUGAAGGAACAGUACAGACACCAUACUCCUGGAAUCUUUAGGUUCUGAUAAAAACUGAGGUAAGCUGUGUAGGAACACAGCUGGGAGAACUGUACUUGCUGAGGCACAUCUCAGCUGCAGGUCAGUGCAAGGAAGGGUGGCUCAAAGUUACAGGAAUAACAAACCCAUGAGCACCCACAGAAAUAUAGUUAAAAGUGUCAGAUAAAAAUGCAAAUACCUCUACCCAUUCUCAGGCUGUCCUUGCCAGUCUUGGGUAUUUGUCAAGACAAAUUACCAGGUCACACUCCCUUAAAGUUCUUCUUGCAUGAUGCUGUCUUGUAUCUUGAAGUAAUGUGUAUGCUCAUCAUCCACUUCCUUCUCAGGAGUUAAGCGUUUAGAUUUCAGGUAACGUUUCAGAUGAAAACACGUUUCACUUUGCUUCAAUUCAGGUAAACUGGCUAAAGGAAAUUCUUUAGCUAAGGGAUCUUUCUGUUCUCUUACGCGGGCCAAAGCUGGGAUGCAAACUGUUUUCUCAGAAUUUAUUUAAGAGGUCAGACUGAGCUGGCUACUCAGCAACAGCUAGCAUGCUUCUAGAGCCCUCACACAGAACUCUAGUAACAUAUGUACAAAUCGGAUAUCUUCCAUCUCACUUAAUUAUAACGCUCCAAUAAACUACUCUAUUAUAAACACAAUCUAGACUUAAGGCUCCUUUUUAUUGGGCCAUUUACUAUUUCUGCUUCAUGACUACUACAAAAAAUGUGCUUUGCCUCAAGUGUAGAAAGGAACUCUUGCCCAGGCUAAGGUGCAGAUUUUAAGAGCAGCUUGUUUGAAAUACUGGAGUUCAUGCUAAAACUUAAACAUGUCUUCCUUGAUAUUUCUGUUAAGUACUAAUUUUAUGCAAAACCUUUACUUUAGUCACUACGUAAAACUGUAUUUCCUAUCGUGGCAUUUUCUGG
ensembl:lncRNA